rnacentral:rRNA from 1 species
GGGAUAACCUGGGGAAACUCGGGCUAAUACCGCAUAAUCUCUUUGGAGCAAAGCGGGGGAUCUUCGGACCUCGUGCUAUAAGAUGAGCCUACGUCGGAUUAGCUUGUUGGUGGGGUAAUGGCCUACCAAGGCGACGAUCCGUAGCUGGUCUGAGAGGACGAUCAGCCACACUGGGACUGAGACACGGCCCAGACUCCUACGGGAGGCAGCAGUGGGGAAUAUUGGACAAUGGGGGAAACCCUGAUCCAGCAAUGCCGCGUGUGUGAAGAAGGCCUUCGGGUUGUAAAGCACUUUCGGUGGGGAAGAAAUUCUCAAGGGUAAUAUCCUUGGGCGUUGACGUUACCCACAGAAGAAGCACUGGCUAACUCUGUGCCAGCAGCCGCGGUAAUACAGAGAGUGCAAGCGUUAAUCGGAAUCACUGGGCGUAAAGCGCGCGUAGGUGGAUAUUUAAGUCGGAUGUGAAAGCCCUGGGCUUAACCUGGGAAUUGCACCCGAUACUGGGUAUCUUGAGUAUGGUAGAGGGAAGUGGAAUUUCCGGUGUAGCGGUGAAAUGCGUAGAUAUCGGAAAGAACACCAGUGGCGAAGGCGACUUCCUGGACCAAUACUGACACUGAGGCGCGAAAGCGUGGGGAGCAAACAGGAUUAGAGACCCUGGUAGUCCACGCCGUCAACGAUGAGAACUAGCUGUUGG